GAAACACGUGCACCUGAUGAUGUUCUUAUAAUGGCAUUGCACAUGCUGUCAUUGGGUUUAGACAUUUGUUUUCAGCAGAGAGAACCUGGGGACAUGUCAUUUUUCAACAGAGAUUCCAUUACCAUGCUUGCUUUUGCUUGUGAAGAAAUUCAUGACAGAUUAAAUUAUGGUUCUGGUGAACAGAGCUUGCUGUCACUUCUUGUCUUAUUGAUGAGGAUGCACAAGAGAGAGAAUGUAGACAACUUUUCGGAGGCAGACAGUCGUAAUGUUUCUUCUUUGAUUGAAAACUUAUUGAAGAAGUUUGCAGAGGUGGAUUCAGGAUGUAUGUCUAAACUGCAGCAACUAGCACCUGAAGUGGUCAUGCAUUUAUCACAAUUACUUCCUAGUAGUAAUGUGCAUCCUGUUGGAUCAGCUUCUGAUAGUGAGAAGCGCAAGGCCAAAGCCCGAGAGAGACAGGCUGCUAUAUUGGCAAAAAUGAAAGCUGAGCAGUCCAAGUUUUUGUCGAGCAUUAACAACACUGUUGACGAUGAUUCAAAAUCAGGAUUAGAUGAAAGCAACAAGGAUAAAGAACAAGGUUU
rnacentral:misc_RNA from 1 species